rnacentral:rRNA from 1 species
GAUGAACGCUGGCGGCAUGCUUAACACAUGCAAGUUGAACGAGUUUAGGUUUUUAAAUUUAAGCUAGUAGCGAACGGGUGAGUAACGCGUAAGAACUUACCUUUAGGUUAGGAAUAACUAUUGGAAACGAUAGCUAAUACUUGAUAAUCUUAAUAAAGAGUGAAAGAUGAAAAUUGCCUAAAGAUAGGCUUGCGUCUGAUUAGCUUGUUGGUGAUUUAAUAGAUUCACCAAGGCAACGAUCAGUAGUUGGUCUAAGAGGAUGAUCAACCACACUGGGACUGAGACACGGCCCAGACCUCUACGGAGGGCAGCAGUGAGGAAUUUUCCGCAAUGGGCGAAAGCCUGACGGAGCAAUGCCGCGUGAAGGAUGAAGGCUUGUGAGUUGUAAACUUCUUUUCUUAGUGAAGAAAAGACGGUAGCUAAGGAAUAAGCAUCGGCUAACUCCGCGCCAGCCGCCGCGGUAAUU